rnacentral:rRNA from 1 species
AGAGUUUGAUCCUGGCUCAGGAUGAACGCUGGCGGCGUGCCUAAUACAUGCAAGUCGAGCGAACGGACGAGAAGCUUGCUUCUCUGAUGUUAGCGGCGGACGGGUGAGUAACACGUGGAUAACCUACCUAUAAGACUGGGAUAACUUCGGGAAACCGGAGCUAAUACCGGAUAAUAUUUUGAACCGCAUGGUUCAAAAGUGAAAGACGGUCUUGCUGUCACUUAUAGAUGGAUCCGCGCUGCAUUAGCUAGUUGGUAAGGUAACGGCUUACCAAGGCAACGAUGCAUAGCCGACCUGAGAGGGUGAUCGGCCACACUGGAACUGAGACACGGUCCAGACUCCUACGGGAGGCAGCAGUAGGGAAUCUUCCGCAAUGGGCGAAAGCCUGACGGAGCAACGCCGCGUGAGUGAUGAAGGUCUUCGGAUCGUAAAACUCUGUUAUUAGGGAAGAACAUAUGUGUAAGUAACUGUGCACAUCUUGACGGUACCUAAUCAGAAAGCCACGGCUAACUACGUGCCAGCAGCCGCGGUAAUACGUAGGUGGCAAGCGUUAUCCGGAAUUAUUGGGCGUAAAGCGCGCGUAGGCGGUUUUUUAAGUCUGAUGUGAAAGCCCACGGCUCAACCGUGGAGGGUCAUUGGAAACUGGAAAACUUGAGUGCAGAAGAGGAAAGUGGAAUUCCAUGUGUAGCGGUGAAAUGCGCAGAGAUAUGGAGGAACACCAGUGGCGAAGGCGACUUUCUGGUCUGUAACUGACGCUGAUGUGCGAAAGCGUGGGGAUCAAACAGGAUUAGAUACCCUGGUAGUCCACGCCGUAAACGAUGAGUGCUAAGUGUUAGGGGGUUUCCGCCCCUUAGUGCUGCAGCUAACGCAUUAAGCACUCCGCCUGGGGAGUACGACCGCAAGGUUGAAACUCAAAGGAAUUGACGGGGACCCGCACAAGCGGUGGAGCAUGUGGUUUAAUUCGAAGCAACGCGAAGAACCUUACCAAAUCUUGACAUCCUUUGACAACUCUAGAGAUAGAGCUUUCCCCUUCGGGGGACAAAGUGACAGGUGGUGCAUGGUUGUCGUCAGCUCGUGUCGUGAGAUGUUGGGUUAAGUCCCGCAACGAGC